rnacentral:rRNA from 1 species
GAUGAACGCUGGCGGCGUGCCUAAUACAUGCAAGUCGAGCGAACAGACGAGGAGCUUGCUCCUCUGACGUUAGCGGCGGACGGGUGAGUAACACGUGGCUAACCUACCUAUAAGACUGGGAUAACUUCGGGAAACCGGAGCUAAUACCGGAUAAUAUAUUGAACCGCAUGGUUCAAUAGUGAAAGACGGUUUUGCUGUCACUUAUAGAUGGAUCCGCGCCGCAUUAGUUAGUUGGUAAGGUAACGGCUUACCAAGGCAACGAUGCGUAGCCGACCUGAGAGGGUGAUCGGCCACACUGGAACUGAGACACGGUCCAGACUCCUACGGGAGGCAGCAGUAGGGAAUCUUCCGCAAUGGGCGAAAGCCUGACGGAGCAACGCCGCGUGAGUGAUGAAGGUCUUCGGAUCGUAAAACUCUGUUAUUAGGGAAGAACAAAUGUGUAAGUAACUAUGCACGUCUUGACGGUACCUAAACAGAAAGCCACGGCUAACUACGUG